UAAAUACUCCCUCCGUCCGGAAAUACUUGUCCAAGGAAUGGAUGUAUCUAGAUGUAUUUUAGUUCUGGAUACACCCAUUUGUAUCCAUUUCUAUGACAAGUAUUUCCGGACGGAGGGAGUACCAU
rfam:Triticum urartu cultivar G1812 contig870512, whole genome shotgun sequence.